GUUCAUUGGAUAAACUUUCGUUUCCCCACCGACUUACCCAAAUAAAAGGCAAACGGAGAACGAAUCCGAGGCAUCUCUCACUCUGCAUCAUGGAUUACCUAUGCGCUGCAGUCGUUGGUACAGUAGGUGCUGGUGCUGCCGUGUUCGCUGCACCUUUCGUUCUGGGUGCCGCUGGAUUCACCGCGGCAGGAAUCACCGCUGGGUCAAUGGCUGCAGGCAUGAUGUCAGCAGCUGCCGUAGCGAACGGAGGGGCGGUGGCAGCGGGCACCACAGUGGCCGUGUUGCAGGCAGCAGGUGCGGCUGGUCUGGGGGCAGUGGCUACUGCUGCAACUGCUGGUGGAGGAGCAGCAGCUGCACUGGCUCUGAAAGAGGCUCUAAAAUCCGCUGCAACUUAAUGCUCCCCUCUUGUCAGGCAGAUUUCUUAAUUAGGUUUUAGUUAUUUGCAAUGGGCUUCACAACAGAAUUUUUGGCUGCAUUGUGUAGCCUACUAUUAAUUCUUCAAGUUUCCCCAUUUGCCUUAAAAAUCCUUGAUAACAGAAUGGGGCGAUAACCACCAUCUUAAGAAUUUGACCUUGUGAAACAUAAUUCUGAUUUCUUUAUGCUAACUAAAUCUGAACUAAAUCCCAUUAAAAAAGGAAUGUGCAGAUACAUUAUGGCUCAUUUGUUCAGUAUUUAAAGGAGCAUUUCACCGGUGGAGGCAUGAAUAUGUAUUGAAAUUGGGUCCUAUAUGUAGUCGAAUAAUAAAAUAAAAUUCUAAUUUGGUGCCGUCUUGACCUAGCCUGGUUCUACCAGACUCUCGUACUUCACUUAAUUUCAUUUCAUUUGUACAGAGAGUCUGGACAAACGUUAACUCACUUGAAGGCGGGUGUCUGUUGAAGUUUAAAAUGAUUGGAUCUGCCCAGUGCCACUCUGGAUCUGCCAUAACCAAUCGCUAACGUUUGGUUGUGACGUAUGUCAUGCGCCGGGAAUCACGCGCAGGUUGUACACAAACCAAACACCUUGCGCGUCUGCACGAAAAUGUCCGUCAACGACAGGUGCAGGUUUUGUUCGUCGAAUUUAAUUUAUCAGGGAAAAAUUGCACAUUGUAAAUCAACUACCGACCUACAACAACAACUCAAACUGGCGUACGACUUUAUCGUCAUUGUUUUUUAGACAAGCCCUCUGUUCGCUGAUUGGCGGCCGCUGUGGCGGCACCAGAAAACCAAAUUACAUACAGCAGGUCCAGACCUAGUACUGAAGGGAAAUUCAAAUUGAGCGGAAGUACUUAGGCGGGCGGAGCCAGGCUAGUCUUGACCCAGAAAAGGCAGAAAGUGACUUUGGCGCUUGUAGAUUGAAGACAACUACUCCCCCCAUGCCCCACGAUGCACAGCUUCGCUGGCCACUCCCGCUGAUCUAGAUCUCCGCCUAUCGGACGCCUCGCUGUUCCAUCUACCAAGCUGAUACCGCAAGACUGCUUGAAAAUCAUUUCACACAACAUUUCUAGUGAAGAAUAUUAGCUGGUGAACUCAGUGAAUUACCGUCUUUUCCGCACUAUAAGGCGCACUUAAAAGCUUUUAAUGUAUAAUCCGGAGCGCCUUAUAUAUGGAGAAGGGUCCAGCUGCAGGCUUGGGCGUUUCCGUCAUGACACAAGAACGCCCAUUAGGCGUUCCUGGUAGCUUUUCAUCGACCAAUCACGAGGUGUUUCGAAAGACAUACUGGGUUUCGCAAGGCAUACUGCGAAGCACAGUCGCAAAGCAUACUAUGCUUUCCUUCCUCAAUGGCAAUUUUACCUCCCUCGUUAGAUUUAGCAAUCAUGGAGCCCCCACUUGGCUAACGUUAGUUAUAUGCUACCCGUACUUGAAACUGCUGUUUGAGAAAAUCUAACUAGCGAAUGUUCCGGAAGUUGACAGCCGUGCGAAGAAGAAGGGGUUCGGUGUUGACGGUGAAAGUUAGGCCGGUUUAUAGCAGAGUUUCCGUUGUCGGUUAUUACCGGUCAUUGGCCGGAAAAAAAAAUGAGGAGGACCGACAAUUCUAAAUGUCCCCGGUCGGCGACUGGUCAUUAAGGGCAAGUCACUACUCUCACAAGAAGAAAAGAAAAAGAAAAUGAAAAAAUAUAUAUAUAUAAAAAAUAGAAUAUAUAUAUUUUUAUAUAUAUAUAUAUAUAUUUAAAAAAUAAUCUCCCCAGAAAGUAGGCUACUAUAAAAUAAUAAGUUCGGCGCUUUUAUUUAAUUUUUAGUCGACCCUGGCUUGCUUCUUCCGGCUGAGUUCGUCUGGAGGUGCAAGAGGGGCUCUAGCUCCACCAGCCCAAUGCAAUGUGUAUUGGACUGGAAACAUUUAAAUGAGCAUGCUCAGAGUGUUUCUCUGUUGAAGUGAACGGAGAUUAUUUUUCUUCCUGGUGGGGCUAGCCGCUAGCCCAAUAUGUCCAUGGUGUGGACUUGGGACCGUUAAAUAUCCCAGGAUGCAUUUCGCAUUUCACAUUUCGCAUUCCUGUUUUAAAAUAUCAGUCUGUAAGCUAUAAAAUAGGCUAUAUAGGAACAUUUUAACCCUUUAUGUUUCAUUUAGGAUAUUUAUUAUACGACCCCUCAUGUUUCAUUUGAUAAAAAACGACAGUGUUACCCCCUAUGUUUUAUUCGAUACAUUUCGACAGUGUUACCCCUUAUGGAUUUUUCAUGACGACAGAUAAAAAACGACAGUGUUACCCUUUACGUUUCAUUUGAUAAAAACGACAGUGUUACCCCUUAUGUUUUUUUCCCAUGAUGACUGAUGAAAAACAACAGUGUUACCCCUUAUGGUUUUUUUCAUGACGACCAAAGAAAAAUGACAGUGUUACCCCUCAUUCUUCAUUUGAUAAAAACAACAGUGUUACCCCUUAUGUUUUUUCAUGACGACCGAUAAAAAACUACUAUGUUACCCCUUAUGUUUCAUUUGAUAAAAACGACAGUGUUACCCCCUAUGUUUUAUUUGAUCAAUAUCAACAGGUUUACCCCUUAUGUUUAUUUCAUAACGGCCGAUAAAAAACGACAGUUACCCCUUAUGUUCUUUUUCAUGACGACCGAUAAAAAACUACAGUGUAACCCCUUUUUUUUUUUUCAUGAUGACCGAGAAAAACAACAGUGUUACCCCCAAUGUUUUUUUUCAUGACGACCAAUUAAAAACAACAGUGUUACCCCUUAAGUUUUUUUUCACGACCAAUAAAAAAAGACAUAUUUGAUUUGACAAAGACAACAGUGUUACCCUUUAUGUUGUUUUUCAUGAAGACCAAUAAAAAACAACAGUGUUACCCCUUGUGGUUUUUUUCAUGACGACCAAAGAAAAACAACAGUGUUAACCCCUGUUUUAUUUGAUGAAUAUCGACAGUGUUACCCCUUAUGUUUAUUUCAUGACGGACGAUAAAAAACUACAGUUACCCCUUAUGUUUCAUUUGAUAAAAACGACAGUGUUACCCCUCAUGUUUCAUUUGAUUAAAAUGACAGUGCUACCCCUUGUGUUUUUUUCAUGACGACCGAUAAAAACAACAGUGUUACCCCUUGUGUUUUUUUUCAUGACGACCAAUAAAAAACAACAACGUUACCCC